AAUAUUUCAGAGCAGCAGUUUGCUGCUCCGCCAGCAGGGGGCGGUGAUGUAACCGGACAAUUCAAACUGUUGAAGAAGAAGCCGCCGGCGCCAUUGUUGUGUUGCAGUGGCUGUUAGCCGUGAACAUGUCCGGCGGGUCUUCAGCCCAGCAGCUCAGAGAGUUCAUCAGCGAGCGGCUGGCUGCCGCCGCGGAGGAAAUCUUCUCGGUCUUCCAGAGAACCGUCGCCCAGUACGAGGAAGAGCUGGACCGGCAGCGCAGACUGCUGGACGGCGGCUGGAGGCCGGACAGCGGCUUCCAGAGAGCAGAUCCGCCGCUGCAGCCAUUUCCCUACAUGGACGAGCCGAACCUCCAGAUCCAGAACCGCUGCCUGGACCUGGACGAACCAGAACCUCUACAGGUCAAAGAGGAAGACGAGGAGCUGCGGAUCAGCCCGGAGGAAGAGCAGCCGGUUCUGAAGCAUGAGGCCGACGUGCUCACUGCGGCUUUGGCUUACGAAGGACCCGGUACCGAACCGGAACCGGGCCGGGACCGCUUUCCCCCAGCCGAGAGCCACGACCGGCCCAAAGGCUUCGAACCGCCCAAGAAGCCGAAUCAGAACCACAGCAGGGCUGAGCGAUCCAGCUGGACUCAGAAGUGUGACGUUUGCGGCAAAGCGUUCAACAAAGCGUCGGAGCUGCGCGCGCAUUACCGCAUCCACACCGGGGAGAAACCGUUCUGCUGCCCCACCUGUCAGAAAGCCUUCACCUUCAAGUCCAACCUACGGGUCCACCUGCGCACGCACACCAACGAGGCGCCGUUCUCCUGCCAGACCUGCGGCAAGCUCUUCAAGCACCGCAGCAGCCUGAUGGUGCACUGCCGCAGCCACACCGGGGAGAGACCGUACGCCUGCGCCGCCUGCGGGAAGCGAUUCACAGACAAGUCCUCACUCAAGCAGCACUCAGUGACUCACACGGGCCACAGGAUGUACUCAUGUGCGCUGUGUGGGCGGGGCUUCAAUAGGAGCAGCUACCUGCUGCAGCACAUGAAGGUCCACACGCCUGAGAGUUUCUCCACGAGUUAGAGGAACUCAAAACCGCUCCCGGAAUUGUGCUUACUCAGCAAACCUUCCCCAUCUCAUCUCAGUUUAAGUAUCAUCCUUCAGUUUCCGGGUCCAGGUCCAGUCGGAUCCAGGCAGAACUUCCUGUUGCUCUCAGUGAUGACUCUGCAGGAGAACACACAGCUUCUGGGUCAGAACCGGACCUGGGUCAGAACCGGACCGGCCAACUGGGUCCGAACGGGACCGGCUGACCGCCCAGCACCAGAACAAAGUUCAUAUUUUGAAGAAUCCUGCCAUGUUUGUCUGGUUCCAGUGGCAGCAGUUUAAAAUGAAACUUCGUCUUCCUCAUUUUAAAGAGACGGGUCAGAACAUUUCCUCCUGACUGAUACUGGGAACGCAGGUCUACUGGGAACACAGGUCUACUGGGAACGCAGGUCUACUGGGAACCCGAUGAGGUAACUUCCUGUCUGGACAGUCACAUGAUCAGCUCAGGUGAGUCUUCACAGGUCAGGAGUUAACUAAAACUAACAAAAUAACUCAAACUGAAACAAAUAGAAAUAGUAAUUAACGGAAAAAUCAUUAACUAACUGGAAUUAAAUUGUGUUUGUCAAAGUAAAACAAACUGAAAUUAUUGAUAUAUUUUGUUUCCAUGCUGAUUAUUUAUUGGCCUUUAGAACUGAUGUGAUUCUUUUCAGAAACGAGUCGACGGCCAUUUAAUGCUUCGUUUGGUCCUGAAUUUGACCCAACCUGAAACUAAAUGGUUUAAUUCUCCAGGCUUUUGAAAACUUUUUCUGCCUCGUCGUUUAAUACAAACUUUGCAGCUGCAGAUAGUUAGCUAUGUGGAUCGCCUCGAUGCGGGUAGAUCCUCUAGGUUAUAAGAGAAGUCUUUUUCACACAGAGGAUACGGAUCAUAUUCUAAAUAUACACAUAUAUUUUCCACCAUUUCGGGUGUGAGCAACUCGUGAUCCGUUUAGCUUUGUUUGGAACUGGAGAAAUCCACUUCCAGAUCUCCAUCUGAAUUUCACUCGCCGUCCGUGUCUGAAACCCACCAAGAGCAAAGAUAACUUUUAGGGUUUCAGUGGAAUUAAGUUACUUCUUUAAGUAGUUUGACAUUUAUUUCCAUGCUCUUAUUUUGAAAUCUGAUUGUUUCUUUUUGAUAGUUCAGUUUCUGGUAAAUAACUGAUGACGGUACAAUAAGUCGGGUUCCAUAAAACACAAAAGACAGAGGAAAGGAGCUUUUAUUUUGAAGAGUCUGAAUGCAUCAUAGCUUUUAAUCAUCUGCACACAAACAGGAAAUUAGCCAAAUCAGAAGCUUUGAUCCGGACUCUGAGACGGUUCUGACCGUUCAGACAGAAACUCGCUGGUCAACUCGUCACAUCUGGUUUCAAAUAAAAUCACAUCUGUAAUGUCUCUGCUGCCACAAUAAUAAAUAAAAAAAAACUUUUUAUUUUAUGAACAUUGUUCAUAAAGGAGAUGAGAUUCAACCAAAUACUGUUUCACAAACAGCUUCAUAAAAUCACCAGGAUGUCAUGAAUAAAGCAGCAACAACACAAGUCAACAUGUAUCAAAGUGAACGAGGCAUGAUGACCAACUACAAACCUGCAUCCACUGAACUCUGACCUCAUCCAGUUAUUGAGACCAGGAAGCAUCAAACCAGAUGUUUUUCAUGAUUUCAUUUAGUGUUUAAACGAUGAAACUGAACCGAUUUAUCCUCAGACAAUAAACUAACAAAAUAAAGAAAAUAGAAAUAAAAAAUGUGAAAACUUCAAAAUGUGAAUAAUUGAGCUCAGUUUGUCUCAUUCAGACGAAACGAUUCGUCUGAAUGAAUCCAUGGCUCAUUUAUUCUCACUGAAGAGAAA